UAAACGUUUAGAAAAUUGGAGCAUUGGGUUUAUGUGGCCUUGAGUAGGGAAAGGGAUGACUAGAAUAUGAGCUUUACUCUCCGGUUAUUCUCUUUCUCUCCUCCUAGUAGGAGGGAGUAAUAUUUGCAGAAUAGGAGAACCAUUAUAUAUACUAGCAUCAUGUGACACGCAUUGCAUAUCUAAUUACCACGAAGAUUAAAUAUACCCAUUACGAAUCUAAUUAGUGGGAGGAUAAAAUAAAAAUAGUACUCCCUCCGUUCCUUAAUAUAGAUCGUUUUAGACAUGUGCACAAGAAUUAAGGAAAUGAUUGAAAAGCAUUAACUAUAGUAUCAAUUGUCUAUAAUACCAUUCACCUCACUUAUCUCAUAAAUAUGGAUCAAAAGAUUAGGUGGAGUAAUAAGGGGCAAUUUGGAAAAAAUAGUAAUCAAUUCUCCUAGAUAACCACAAACGACAAAUAAUUAGGAAUAAAAAAAAAGUCUACAACGACUUACAUAUAGGAAUGGAGGGAGGAGUACUAAAUUUGGAGGACAAAAUAAUAAAAUAGCAAAAAAGUUAAAGUUAGGGAGGAUAAAAUAGGAAUAUAUCUACACUUACGGGGACAAAAAAUGAAAUAACUAUUUGUGACCCAAAAUAAAUAAUGGUAGUUGUAUUUCCUUUGUGGUAUCUUUAGUUAUCAUCCUGCAUGUACUUGGUUAAAUAAGCAGCUGAAAACAGUCUCACUUGUAUGUUUAUUUGGUACUUUGAACAACUGUAAUACUGCAAUAUAAAAUCUUAGUUUGAAAUUAGGUCAAUGGUGGUAGUUGGAAAUUUUGUUUAUUGGAAACAUUGGUAUUAAUUUCCUAUAUGUUCUUUCAUGCAUGCAUCCCUCCAAGGGCGGAGCCAAAAAUUUUUUUCCUUCUGGGCUACCAAGUGCCAUUUAGAUUUCCCGAAUAAUAACAAAUCAGUGCAGGCUAAACACACCCCCCAACUUGCUCAAAAACUAACUUUUCCCUCUCUUAGGACUUUUAUCGAACACCUUGAGGGCGUGACUCCGGUGUGAACCGAGACUAUACCCAUACCGUCCUCGAAGAAAGAGAUGAUGAAGUGGUUGUUGAGGUCGUCCCAUUUGGUGCUCCUUGAGCCAGUCAGUGCUGUGAAUUUGGAACAUGUGGGAGGUUGAUUUGACUAUUUCAAGGGAUAUGAGGAUGCCUAUUGGGACGGCUGUGAAGAGUAAUAUGAGUAAGAAAAACUUGAUAGAGUAGAAGAAAGCCAUGGAUAUAUAUAUAUAGAGAAAAAAAAACAGAGAAUAUGUAUUUAGAGAAAGAAACAGGAAAUGGGUACUUAAUUAGAGAAAGAAACAGGAAGUAGGUAUUUAGAGAGAGAAAGUAUGGCUACUACCAGAAAGUUUUCAUCUAGUUAGUGGAGGGAGGAGAGAGAUACAAUUAACAGGUGAGACAUAGGUGGAAAGAGGAGGGAAACCUAGAAUCUUACCCGGGCUAUAGCCCACCUCAGCCCAAACGUGGCUCCGCCCUUGUGUCCCUCUCACUUGAUAUUUUAGGGCAUUUCUUAA
rnacentral:lncRNA from 1 species